UACGUAGGGAGCAAGCGUUGUUCGGAUUUACUGGGCGUAAAGGGCGCGUAGGCGGCGCGGUAAGUCACUUGUGAAAUCUCUGAGCUUAACUCAGAACGGCCAAGUGAUACUGCAGUGCUAGAGUGCAGAAAGGGCAAUCGGAAUUCUUGGUGUAGCGGUGAAAUGCGUAGAUAUCAAGAGGAACACCUGAGGCGAAGGCGGGUUGCUAGGCUGACACUGACGCCGAGUGCGCGAAAGCCAGGGGAGCAAACGGG
rnacentral:rRNA from 1 species